GCAAAACGCGAAGAACCUUACCUAGGCUUGACAUGCAUCUCUAAGCGCGUGAAAGCGCGUGACCCUUCGGGGGAUUUGCACAGGUGCUGCAUGGCCGUCGUCAGCUCGUGUCGUGAGAUGUUGGGUUAAGUCCCGCAACGAGCGCAACCCUUGUGAACAGUUGCCAGCACUUAAGGUGGGAGCUCUGUUCAGACUGCCCAGAUCAACUGGGAGGAAGGUGGGGACGACGUCAGGUCAGUAUGGCCCUUACGCCUAGGGCUGCACACGUACUACAAUGCCCAGCACAAUGAGAACCGAGACCGCGAGGUGGAGGAAAUCUAAAAAACUGGGCCCAGUUCGGAUUGGAGGCUGCAACUCGCCUCCAUGAAGUUGGAAUCGCUAGUAAUGGCGCAUCAGCUACGGCGCCGUGAAUACGUUCCCGGGUCUUGUACACACCG
rnacentral:rRNA from 1 species